rnacentral:rRNA from 1 species
AAAACAUGGCUCCUUGAAAUCUAAUAAUAAGGAGUCGGACCUGCCCAGUGAAUUUUUUAACGGCCGCGGUACUCUGACCGUGCAAAGGUAGCAUAAUCAUUUGCCUUAUAAUUGAAGGCUAGUAUGAAUGGUUUGACAUGAAUGUAGCUGUCUCUUUAUAAUUUUAUAGAAUUUUAUUUUCAGGUGAAGAAGCCUGUAUUUAAUUAAAAGACAAGAAGACCCUAUCGAGCUUGAAAGAAAUUAAUAGAAUUAAAAUUAAUGUUAUUUAAAAAAUUGUCUAUUGAAGAUUUUAGUUGGGGCGACUGAGGAACACAAAAAGCUUCCUUUAAAGAUUUAUUAAAUCAAACUAGAAGUGAUCCAAAAUAUUUUGAUUAAAGGAAUUAGUUACCGUAGGGAUAACAGCAUUAUCUUUUUUAAGAGCUCAUAUCGAAAAAAAGGUUUGUGACCUCGAUGUUGGACCAGAAUAUCCUAAAGGUGCAGCAGCCUUUAAGGGUUGGUCUGUUCGACCAUUAAAAUUCUACGUGA